AAUUGCCAAGGGCAAUUGAGUGAGGUAUAAAAGACUGGAGCAAGCUAGAAAAAAAUCAGACUAAUGAUUAGACGGGCAAAGAAGAAACCUUGACGGUCGAGUAAUAGAUAUAAGUGUCAGUGGAGGCUGGAGUUAAUGAUGACCAGAAAGAUGGGCAAGGAAAUAUGCUGCUAUCCAUAGUUUGUUAAGCCUGCAGGAAGUCUGGUGUCUAGUAUUUUACCUGAAAACAACAGCAGGACAGCAAGUUGAAAACCAUGUGAUGCAAAAGUUUCAUGAGAAGGCAAACGCUGGAAAAGAUUUCACCACCCCACUGAAUAGAACAAUAUCUUAAAGAUGGCUAAGGAAAAUAAAGAGGCAAGACUGGAGAAAAAAGAACCCACACAAAAGCAGCUAUCAUUGCUCCAAGCAUUAAAAUGCUCAAAUAAAUUAGUUCAUGAAGAUCCCAGGUCAAAAGAAGUUACCAACUGUUUAAUGGGAUUUAUAGCUUUGAAUGAAUAAUGUGUUGGUUCUUUCACUAUGGUAUGUGAUUCUAAAGAAGAGACUCAGUGACUUCUUUCUCAGUUGAAGAUAAUCAUUGACCUAAUGUUUUACAACCCUCUCGUUCAUGGAGCAAGGACUGCAUAAAUUGUUUUUGAGAGUGAGAUCUAAAUGAUAGUGGUAUACAAGAGAGCCAGAACACAAUGUCCAGUGGUUUGCUAUUUUUCUUAUUUAAGAUCAGAAAUUUUAAAUAAGUUUUAGUUAAAGUUUCAGUAGAUGAUAUUUUCUGUUAGAAGAUAAACAGUUUUCUAACAUGGGAAAGUUUUGUUUCUGAUUAAAAAGUCAGAAACUAUAUACUUAUUCCAAUAAUAAAAACAAAUUUUGCUUGUUGUACCCAAAUGAACAAUCCUUUGUUAAAAAGACAUUCGAAGUAUGGAAAUGGGGAGAAUAUAGAAUAUUGCAUCUUUAAAUAAUGUUUACGAAACAAAUGUAUCUUAUUUCUUAAGUAUAUAUGUACAAAUGUAAGUUCCUUUUAAGAAUUUUGAAAUAAGUUGUUCUUUUAUUAAGUUAUAGUUGUUUUUAUGAAUAAACAUUAUAUUGCUCCUAACUUUUAUGUGUAAUACUUGUAUGUCUCUUGCAUUUCACACAUCUAUGCUCUAAAAACCUGUUAAAGCUUUUAGUUUUUGCCUUAAAAAAAGCCACGUGAAUACCUUAUUAAUAAAUACAUUACUGUACCGUAAUGUUGAAUUUUGUAGGUUAAAAGGUAUAAAAGGAAUAGCUGACAGGAUUAUCACCAUAAGAUGGCCUAAAUGAGUAAGAAUCUAUAGAAAACUGGCAGCAUAUCACUGAUAAGAUUAGAAUGUUUUGUUUUACAGGAAUGAAACCCAGUAGGUGAGUUUAACACAUUCAUAAAGUUAAAUAAAAUUAUUAGAAAUAUAAAGAACUUGAAAUCUUAGAUGAAAAAAUACUGAGUAAAGUUAUUACUAUUCCCAUGGAAGAUAUGACAAUAUUAGAAAAACUUAUAUGAUAAAUAUAUAUAUAUAUAUGAACUGCUAAUUUUGAACCUAUCAACCACAACAUUAGGUUUAGAGAAACAGGUGAUGCUAGUAAUCUAAACUACAAUUAUAGUCUUAGUAUACAUUAUAAAAGAAAAAACUAAGUAGCAGGAUGGAAAAUGACUCUUCACUUUUCACAGAUAUUUAAGAUAUUAAAAGUAUUUGUGAAUAUUUGUUAAAGCAGUCUUUAUAUUCAUUCACAAUACCAAUAAACACCUGUAACACUGUGUUCAUGCUUCUCUCAGCAUGGAUUAUGAUAUUUAUAGCAUAUUGAAAAAUAUUAAUGUGGGUUUUUGUUGCCAUUUAAUUUGUUUUUUCAUGCUACAUUCUUGAAAUCUCUUGAAAUUUCAAGUAAGGCAGAAGUGGAAGUUACCUGACUGACAUUUAGUAAAAGCAUAAUUCUAAAUCAGCAUAAUUCUUGACACUAUGAUUGUGAUGACAUUCCUGGUGCAAUGUUGAAGUUGGUAUGUCUUUUUAUUUGUCUGAAAGGGGGCCUAAAGCCAUCUGUUUUAACCACUUGCACUACUAUACAGUAAUGUGUUGUCUGUCAGUCAGUCAGUAGAAAUUAAAAUGACAUCAUAUAUGGGAUGCUUAAUGUUGCAAUUUGUACUGUUGUGAUGUCAGUAAAAUGUGUGCAUGCCUUGAAUCACAGAAAGAAUCAUACACACUGUAGGCUAGAACACAGCAUGUUAUAUGAAUUCAUAAACAAGAAAUAAAAAAUAUUUGUAAUUCUGGUUUUAUUUAUUCUUUAAACAGAACACUUUUGGGGAUCCUGCAGAAGUAAAUCUAGUAUGACUGCAAAACCAUCAUAAUGUAAUGCUGAAUCAAUAACUCGUAAUUUGUGAUAUUGAAUAUGUUAUAUUAAAUCAAUUUUGGAGACUCACUAUGUCGUUACAUUCCAUAUUGCUACAUUCAGUAAGGCUCCAUCUGACAAUUGUGCAUCCUUAAAGUAAUCCUGCAGCAUAAUUUCAUUUACAAAAGGCUCUAUCAUACAUCAGUUAUGUCCAAAACACACCACUCCUCCCCAUGUGGUUUCCAUAAUGCAUCUAGUGUAUGAGGACAAUAGUUUCUCUGUGCCCAUUUCAACAGUCCAGUCACAUAAAAAUUCGUAAGUGCUGCACCUGAAGACUUAACUGGUAUGUCUUUAUGUGAAAUUGCAUAAAUACGUAUUUCAUUCUCCAGCUGCUUCAAGUAUGCAACAGUUGAAAGGGAGGUAUGACUGGAAGCCUUACCUUGGUGAACCCCAUACCCUGUUUGCCUUAUUUACAAAUGUAGGUCCUUCUUGAUUAUGUAGUGGCUCACCUGUUAGAAAACACCACACUUUGCUUAUUAUAGCUGGGUUACAACUUGAAGGUUUCUUUAUGGAUGGUCAUUGUACCUCUCAGGAUGAUCCAUAUUCCUUUGUUUUUCAGUGCCAUUAAGUACAAAGGAUAUCCUCAUCUUGGAAGUUCUAAAUCACCAAUCUUAACACAUCUUUGUGUAUGGAUAUUGCACUGGAAAGGGUUGUUACAUACCCUUCCAAAAAGUAAUAAAUUUUCUGUGGUAUCACACUAAUUACAUAAGACCAGAUGAUGUCAAAAUGUAGUUCUGAUACAUAUCAUUCCACUGCAACUUUUAUUUUUGCUGAGGUUGUCAAGUUACUUGCUGAUUUACAUAUUCAAAAUCAUUUAAAAAUAAUGCAGUCAACCCUCUAUAUUAUAUGACUGGAAUAAUCAUAAUGUAGUACUGAAUCAAUAUGACUCACGAUAUUGUAAGACUGGCAGUGGUGAGUUAUUACAUCGCCUGACUGACAGUUAGUGUCAACAUUUUAUUGUUCUACAUAUGAGAAUUAUCCAGAUACUUCUGAUUUAUAGAUUUUGGUCUGACGUAAUGUAGUUGUAUUUCUGUGCUUCUCCAGAAAAUGUACUCUGAGGAGAACAAAGAACCAUAAACAGAGAAUGAAUAAAACUUCUUAAGUUGAAUUCUAAAUGAAUGGGACAAGUAGAACAUUUUGAACAUUAGACUGUUUCUAACAAAUCAAAAAAGGACUUCAAAUAUAAAUCCAACAUUAAUCCUAUAAUUAUGGAUGGGAUCUCAACAGUAUAUCUUGUGUGCUAACCUGGUGUUAUGGAGACAGCAAGUUGUUUAAAGUUUUAUUGUGUGUAUAUAUAUAUGUAAGUGUAUAGAAAAUGCAAUUUUUUUUCAAUUUGUGCACAUAAAUUGUCAAAAAAAGAUGGUAAUUACACUAACAAUAUACAUGCAUUUUAUCUUUAUCCAUCAGUUCAAAUAAUGUAUUUUAUAGAUGAAAAACUAAUAUAAGAAUUGUAUGUACUUGAAAAAAGAUUGAUGCAUUUCAAUUGCAGGUUUGUUUUCGAACAUAAACUAUUUUGCCCAUGCUAUUCAUGAAACUACCAAAUAAUCUCAUUGUUCUCUAUGAAGAGUAACAAGAAAUAUGACUGCCGGUCCUUUCACCAGGGCCUUAUAUUGUAUAACAGAUUACAGUACUUUUGUUAAAAAUAAAUUGUAAUGACUUUUUGCUAUUUAACCAUAAGAUUUAUCAAAUAUGAGUGUUUCCUCAAGUUUGGAAAUUUAAGUGGCAAAAUGUUUUGAAUUUAUGUAUCAAGUAUACUGUACUUUAUUUAAAAGUAAAUUUAAUACCAAAAUUUUGAAUUAUUUAUCAUUGUUCCAUCUUGUGUAUAGGACUUAUUUACUGCCACUGUAUUUCUGGUCAAAACAGAUUCUGCAAUCUUGCAAAAAACUACAUUUUUUUUCUUAAGUGUAUUUGCAGCUCAUUAUUUCAGGGUAUAUUGUUGUAUUUAUAUAAAAAUAAAUGUAUGUUUGUUUGUAA
rnacentral:lncRNA from 1 species